GCUCCGUAGGUGAACCUGCGGAGGGAUCAUUACAGAGCUCAUGCCCUACCGGGUAGAUCUCCCACCCUAUGUUAUUAUUACUUUGUUGCUUUGGCGGGCCGUUAGGCUCCGGCCCGACUACCGGCCCCGGCUGGUAAGCGCCCGCCAGAGGACCCAAAACCCUGAAUAUUAGUGUCGUCUGAGUACUAUAUAAUAGUUAAAACUUUCAACAACGGAUCUCUUGGUUCUG
rnacentral:misc_RNA from 1 species